GAUGAACGCUGGCGGCGUGCCUAAUACAUGCAAGUCGAGCGAACAGAUGAGGAGCUUGCUCCUCUGACGUUAGCGGCGGACGGGUGAGUAACACGUGGAUAACCUACCUAUAAGACUGGGAUAACUUCGGGAAACCGGAGCUAAUACCGGAUAAUAUAUUGAACCGCAUGGUUCAAUAGUGAAAGACGGUUUUGCUGUCACUUAUACAUGGAUCCGCGCCGCAUUAGCUAGUUGGUAAGGUAACGGCUUACCAAGGCAACGAUGCGUAGCCGACCUGAGAGGGUGAUCGGCCACACUGGAACUGAGACACGGUCCAGACUCCUACGGGAGGCAGCAGUAGGGAAUCUUCCGCAAUGGGCGAAAGCCUGACGGAGCAACGCCGCGUGAGUGAUGAAGGUCUUCGGAUCGUAAAACUCUGUUAUUAGGGAAGAACAAAUGUGUAAGUAACUAUGCACGUCUUGACGGUACCUAAUCAGAAAGCCACGGCUAACUACGUG
rnacentral:rRNA from 1 species